rnacentral:rRNA from 1 species
ACUGAGUGGCGACGGGUGAAUAACGCGUGGGUAAACCUGCCCUGUACAGGGGGACAACAGUUAGAAAUGACUGCUAAUACCGCAUAAGCGCACAGGAACCGCAUGGUCCGGUGUGAAAAACUCCGGUGGUACAGGAUGGACCCGCGUCUGAUUAGGUAGUUGGCGGGGUAACGGCCCACCAAGCCGACGAUCAGUAGCCGACCUGAGAGGGUGACCGGCCACAUUGGGACUGAGACACGGCCCAAACUCCUACGGAAGGCAGCAG